AAAGUCGUAACAAGGUUUCCGUAGGUGAACCUGCGGAAGGAUCAUUAUCGAAUAAAACUUGAACGGGUUGUUGCUGGCUCCUUGGGGCAUGUGCACACUUGUCAUUUUUAUUUCAUUUCUCCUCUGUGCACCAACUGUAGGUCUGGAGCUUCUUGAAAUCCUUUGGUUUUUCGAUAGAGGACUGCUGUCUCCUUUUGAAAAGGUCAGCUUUGCCUCACAUCUUCCAGAUCUAUGUUUUUACAAUCUCUCAAUGUGUUUUGGAAUGUCAAAUUUGAUGUAUACAUACAUACAACUUUCAGCAACGGAUCUCUUGGCUCUC
rnacentral:misc_RNA from 1 species